UGGGGAAUAUUGCACAAUGGGCGCAAGCCUGAUGCAGCCAUGCCGCGUGUAUGAAGAAGGCCUUCGGGUUGUAAAGUACUUUCAGCGAGGAGGAAGGCGUUGUGGUUAAUAACCGCAGCGAUUGACGUUACUCGCAGAAGAAGCACCGGCUAACUCCGUGCCAGCAGCCGCGGUAAUACGGAGGGUGCAAGCGUUAAUCGGAAUUACUGGGCGUAAAGCGCAUGCAGGCGGUCUGUCAAGUCGGAUGUGAAAUCCCCGGGCUCAACCUGGGAACUGCAUCCGAAACUGGCAGGCUAGAGUCUUGUAGAGGGGGGUAGAAUUCCAGGUGUAGCGGUGAAAUGCGUAGAGAUCUGGAGGAAUACCGGUGGCGAAGGCGGCCCCCUGGACAAAGACUGACGCUCAGGUGCGAAAGCGUGGGGAGCAAACA
rnacentral:rRNA from 1 species